rnacentral:rRNA from 1 species
GACGAACGCUGGCGGCGUGCCUAAUACAUGCAAGUUGAGCGCUGAAGGUUGGUACUUGUACCCACUGGAUGAGCAGCGAACGGGUGAGUAACGCGUGGGGAAUCUGCCUUUGAGCGGGGGACAACAUUUGGAAACGAAUGCUAAUACCGCAUAAAAACUUUAAACACAAGUUUUAAGUUUGAAAGAUGCAAUUGCAUCACUCAAAGAUGAUCCCGCGUUGUAUUAGCUAGUUGGUGAGGUAAAGGCUCACCAAGGCGAUGAUACAUAGCCGACCUGAGAGGGUGAUAGGCCACAUUGGGACUGAGACACGGCCCAAACUCCUACGGGAGGCAGCAGUAGGGAAUCUUCGGCAAUGGACGAAAGGCUGACCGAGAAACGCCGCGUGAGUGAAGAAGGUUGUCGGAUCGUAAAACUCUGUUGGUAGAGAAGAACGUUGGUGAGAGUGGAAAGCUCAUCAAGUGACGGUAACUACCCAGAAAGGGACGGCUAACUACGUG